GCUUGUCUCAAAGAUUAAGCCAUGCAUGUCUCAGUAUAAGUUCCUGUACGGCGAAACUGCGAAUGGCUCAUUAAAACAGUUACAGUUUAAUUGAUGGUCGUUCCUUACAUGGAUAACUGUGGUAAUUCUAGAGCUAAUACAUGCAUAAAACCCUGACUUCUGGAAAGGGUGUACUUAUUAGAUGGAAACCAAUGCGGGGCAACCCGGAUACUGGUGAUUCAUAAUAAUUUUCGGAUCGAUCGUAGGAUCGAUGCAUCAUUCAAGUUUCUGCCCUAUCAGCUUUGGAUGGUAGGGUAUUGGCCUACCAUGGCAUUAACGGGUAACGGAGAAUUAGGGUUCGAUUCCGGAGAGGGAGCCUGAGAAAUGGCUACCACAUCCAAGGAAGGCAGCAGG
rnacentral:rRNA from 1 species